UGUACCUCGGUAUCAGGGCUUAUCAACUAAGAAUUAAUUAUUUAACUUUCUCGAAUUUAUAAGAGCAAUAAUUAUAUUUAAUUUUUUGUGGCAUAAAAAUUAUUAAUAUAAUUAUAGAAAUGAAAUACUAAGCGAUUAUUAAUAUAUCUAGUUUUUAAAGAAAAAAAUUUAAUUUUUUAAUUAGUUAUAAUAUUAAAUUAAAUUUCUAGUUUAAUAUUAAUUAAUUAAAAAUAUUUUAAGGGAUGAGCUUUAAAAUAAAUUUUUUUAAAAUAAAUUUACAAUUUAAUAAAGUAGAAUUAUAAGUUUUUAUCUUUAAAAGUGUGUUGUAACUUAUUUAAAAUUUUAUUAUAAUUUAUAUUUAAUUUUUAAAGGUUUUUAUUUAAAUAAAUAUUUUAAUAAAAAAAAUUUUGGAAUAAUGAUAAAAUUAGUAUAAUAAUUUGUUUUUAUAAUUUAAAUUGAUAGGUUGUAUAAAGGAACUCGGCAAAUAUAUUUUUCACCUGUUUAUUAAAAACAUGGCCUUUUGAUAAUAAUUUAAGGUCUAACCUGCCCAAUGAAAUUUUAAAUGGCCGCGGUAUUUUGACCGUGCAAAGGUAGCAUAAUCAUUAGUUUUUUAAUUAAAAGCUGGAAUGAAAGGUUGGAUGAAAAAAUUCCUGUCUCUAUAUAAUUUAAUUAGAAUUUUAUUUUUAAGUAAAAAAGCUUAAAUUUAAAUUGAAGACGAGAAGACCCUAUAGAGUUUUAUUAUUAAUUUUUUUAGUCAUUUUAAGAAUUAUA
rnacentral:rRNA from 1 species